AAUUAAAGCCACAAGGGUGGAGAAAAUCACUGAGUGCAGGGCACACACUGUGGCCCUGGGCCAACCAUCUGUUUUGUACAGGCCACCAGCUAAGAAUCAUUUUUACAUGUUUAAAUGAUUAGGGAAAAAUUCAAAAGAAGAAUAUUAUUUCCUGACGUGAAGAUUAUGUGAAAUUCAAAUUUUAUGUCUAUAAAUAAAGCUUUAUUGAAACAUGGCCACACUCUCUCAUUUGGUACCUUUCAGGCUAUGAUGGCAGAAUUUAGUUAUUGUGAUGAAGACACAGAGACUGUGUGGUCAGCAAAGCCUAAAAUAUUUACUCUAUGGUCCUUUACAGAAAGUUUGCUGACCUCUGACUUGGACAAAGACUAUAGAAUUAGAAGUAAAGAGGGCCUCAGGCCACCUUGUGUUAAACGUUCAAAUCAGUGGUUUAUUAAAAGACAAUGAACUGACAAAGGAAACUAAGAAGUUGCCAGAGAGGACAGCCAGAGAGUGUGGUAGCACUUGGCUGGAGGGUGACCACUUGAUUUAUCAUUAAUGUCCUUAGGAAAUCAGUUUGAAAGAAAAAGUGAAGGGAGGAUUAGUGGCAGGAUCCAGAUGAGGUAGGUUGAGGGGAGUGGCAUGAGAGGAAUUGGAGAUGGCAACUGUUGACAGCUCUUCCAACAACUUCAGCUGGAUGGGAGAAAUGGGAUGGCUGUAUCAGGAGUGGCAAGAAGGCUUGGACAAGCUCUUAUUUAUUUUUUAUUUUCUUCAUUUUUGUUUGUCUUAAGGUGGAAGAGACUUGAGUAUAUUUAAAUGUGAAAUGAAAGAAGCCAUUAAAAUGUGGGGGAAAUUGUGACCACAGAUUUUAAUGAAGUGUCUCCACUGAACGUCUGAAGCUAGAAGAUCUCCCGUGCAGGCAGGGACAGUCUGGAGUCUGGAUAUUCCCCUAGAUUGACCUCAGGCCGAACCCCCUGAUGGAAGUGACACUGACCUAGGGAUUGGGGGAUUUAGUUCUCAUCCCAGCUUUGUCAUUAACCAGCUGUGUAUCCUUGGGCAUCAUUGAACAUCUCCCAGGCUCAACUUUCAAAUGACCUUUUCCAUCAAGAGGUAGAGGGUGUUUUUCCAGCCCUGGAAUCUGGCCUUGGCCAUGUGCCUGGCUUUGGCCAAAGGGACAUUAGCAAAUGUGACAAAACCAGAGACUUCAAAAUCACUUGUCGAUCAGCGAUCAGCGUUUGCCCUCCCCUUCAGGCUGCCAAGUGAAGCAGCCUGGUGAGCUCACUGGGGAAUGAGGCACCACGCGGGGAGAAGACCCGGUCCGGCAAGGGAUCCCGUCCAAGCUGAUCCAGCCCUCGUGUCGCUGGCCCUGCCCCGAAGAACAAGAUGAGGAGAACCUUUCUUCAAGCCACUAUGUUUUGGAAGUUCUUUUCCUCCCUGCAAAACCUUAACUGAUGUUUUUUAAAAGUAGAUAUGAGGUGCAAAUGGUAGGGAAUUAAUGAGGGCCAGGUCAACAAGAUAGUCAAUUCCAUUUCCAGUUUUUCUCUCUGACCCAAGCCUUCAUCUACAUCAGUGUUGCCUCUCUGGCUACACAGUAGAAUCGUCUGUAGAAUUUUUAAAAAGUGCCAAUGACUGUGCCCCGUCUCCCAGGUAUUACGAACUAACUGGACGGGCGUGAGGCCCAGGCAUGGGGAUUUUUAAAAUGCUCUACACAAUCAUAAUGUGUGGCCAGGGCUGAGAACACCUGCUCUACACUGAGCAUUUUACUGAGCCUCGCUUCAGAGGGAUAAUACUUUCUAGUUUCUAAUACACCAAGUAUUGUGCCUCAGUAAGGAGAGGUUUUAGUUUUUCAUCAAAUAAAGUAACUUUAAGUUUUAGAGAUUUUAAAAGUACAGAAAAGUUCAAAGAAGAAACAGUAGUUUAUUUCCAACUCCUCUAAAUGAGCUAGUGUUAAGCAUCUAGGCACCUUUACCUUGUGAAUCUUUACUUUUUCCCUCUUAAAAAUAUUUUUCUAUGAUUUGUGAAAAAUUGAACACUGGUUAUUAGAAUGGAUUCAAAUAAUGCAUAAAAAUACAAAGAACAAAAAGGAAAGUUAGAAAAACAUCCAAAACACUACAAACCUUACACCUACAAAGAACAAUCGUUAAGAAAACAUUAGUUCGUAAAGCAUCUUUUUGUAGAAAUGAAUAUUCCAUGUCACCUUAAGACUCCAACAUACCUAUUAACUACUUAACUAACCUAUACUGAAUCCAGAUUGCAAAUAGCCUUUCACAAGUGGCCUUUAGCAUUUAGAGAUGUGGAUUGGGUUUCCUUAAAUGAGUUUCCCUUAUGCACAUUUCUACCACUUUUGUGUGUUUAUCAGCUCAAACAACUGUUUCCUUAGGACUUCAGUUUUAUUAGAUUCCAGAAACGUGAGAAAUUCUGUUAUCUGCAGCACAUGAAAACCAAGUAGUAAGCUGUCUGUGUGAUCUACUUUUCUAGAUUUGUUCACAGCUUGAGUCAAGUAUUUGUAUUUCAAGUGGCAAUUCCUAGAUUUUACCUUACUGUUUCAAAUAAAAGUAUUUACUGUACUGAUUUCUCACUCUAUUACACAGAAACGGAUUU